AUGAAAACAGCUGGGUGAGACAGUUAGUUGGCCCAAGCGAUUAUCUCGGUAAUAAAUUGGGCGUGAAAAGGCAUGCCCAGUAGGUUCUAAUGGAGUUUGGAGGUGGGAGUCCCAAAGCCUCAAUCCGGGGAGGGACAUUGGGAAACUGGGUGCCCUGGAGUGCAGAAGAGGAGAUUGGAAUUCCACGUGUAGCGGUGAAAUGCGUAGAGAUGCGGAGGAUCGCCAGUGGCGAAGGCGGCUCUCUGGGCUGUAACUGCCGCUGAGGAGCGAAAGCGUGGGGAGCGAACAGGAUUAGAUACCCUGGUAGUCCACGCCGUAAACGAUGAGUGCUAGGUGUUAGGGGGUUCGAUGCCCUUGGGACCGGAGUUAACACAUUAAGCAUUCCGCCUGGGGAGUACGGUCGCAAGGCUGGAACUCAAAGGAAUUGGCGGGGGCCCGCACAAGCAGUGGAGUAUGUGGUUUAAUUCGAAGCAACGGGAAGAACCUUACCAGGUCUUGACAUCCCUCUGACCGGUCUAGAGAUAGGCCUUUCCUUCGGGACAGAGGAGACAGGUGGUGCAUGGUUGUCGUCAGCUCGUGUCGUGAGAUGUUGGGUUAAGUCCCGCAACGAGCGCAACCCUUGACUUUAGUUGCCAGCAAUUCGGUUGGGCACUCUAGAGUGACUGCCGGUGACAAACCGGAGGAAGGUGGGGAUGACGUCAAAUCAUCAUGCCCCUUAUGACCUGGGCUACACACGUACUACAAUGGCCGAUACAACGGGAAGCGAAGUCGCGAGAUGGAGCGAAUCCUAUCAAAGUCGGUCUCAGUUCGGAUUGCAGGCUGCAACUCGCCUGCAUGAAGUCGGAAUUGCUAGUAAUCGCGGAUCAGCAUGCCGCGGUGAAUACGUUCCCGGGUCUUGUACACACCGCCCGUCACACCACGAGAGUUUACAACACCCGAAGUCGGUGAGGUAACCGCAAGGAGCCAGCCGCCGAAGGUGGGGUAGAUGAUU
rnacentral:rRNA from 1 species